CGUCAGGACUCACGAGAGAUAUGGACGGGCGAGUGGAUAAAACGGCUGGGUUGACAUGAUCGACACGUACGGGUUGUCCGGUUUGGCACAAGGAGCCGUAACACCGAUCUCGCUUGCCGGAACGCUCCGCCAACGACGUCAUGCCGCAUCCGCAUGAAGGAAGAAUAAAAUCCCUUGGGUGAUGACACAAAAUGCAAGCGUGUUUGGUCAUCAUUCGAUCGUGCUGCCGUGCGUGGAUUCGCACCCGCCGGCGGGAUCCGGACGAAUGUCAUGUGACAAAGCUGCAAGCGGCGGUUUCGUCAUUUCUUGCAUGUAGAGCUAGCUUGCGUGUGCAUGCAUGCGAGCACGUCACGAAAUAUAUGUACUGUCAGUAUAUGCCCCCAUAUCACGAUGGUAUUCGUUAAUUGCUAGAGGAAGUGUGUAAAUCAUUUGAUCCUCUAAAUCUGGACCACACCUUGCCAAGAGAGCCCAACAAGAGCAACAAGAGGAACCCUAGCUAAUAAUACAUGCAAAAAUGCACAGCGCUCGUACGGUACAGUCCAUGAGACGUACGUACGUACCCCUAGUUUUGGUGCACACACGUUCGGCGGGCGGUGUG
rnacentral:lncRNA from 7 species